rnacentral:rRNA from 2 species
UGAGUUGUAAUUUGCAGAGGAUGCUUUGGUCAUUGCUCCGUCUUAAGUCCUUUGGAAAGAGGCGUCAUGGAGGGUGAAAAUCCCGUCUUGACGGAUGUCAAAGUCCAUGUUAAAGCUCCUUCGAAGAGUCGAGUUGUUUGGGAAUGCAGCUCUAAGUGGGAGGUAAAUUUCUUCCAAAGCUAAAUAUUUGCUAGAGACCGAUAGCGCACAAGUAGAGUGAUCGAAAGAUGAAAAGCACUUUGAAAAGAGAGUUAAAAAGCACGUGAAAUUGUUGAAAGGGAAGCUCAUGCAGUCAGACAUGAUUUCAAGGCUCAGCCUUAUGGUGUAUUCCUUUGAAUCAGGUUAGCAUCAGUUUGGGCAGUCGGAUAAAAGUUUCGGGAAUGUAGCUCUUCGGAGUGUUAUAGCCCGAUCCAUCAUGCGACUAGUCCAGUCUGAGGUCCGCUUAUAGGAUGCUGAC